GACGAACGCUGGCGGCGUGCUUAACACAUGCAAGUCGAACGCUGAAGCUUGGUGCCUGCACUGGGUGGAUGAGUGGCGAACGGGUGAGUAAUACGUGAGUAACCUGCCCUUGACUCUGGGAUAAGCCUGGGAAACUGGGUCUAAUACUGGAUACGACAUGUCACCGCAUGGGUGUGUGGAAAGGGUUUUACUGGUUUUGGAUGGGCUCACGGCCUAUCAGCUUGUUGGUGGGGUAAUGGCUCACCAAGGCGACGACGGGUAGCCGGCCUGAGAGGGUGACCGGCCACACUGGGACUGAGACACGGCCCAGACUCCUACGGGAGGCAGCAGUGGGGAAUAUUGCACAAUGGGCGAAAGCCUGAUGCAGCGACGCCGCGUGAGGGAUGACGGCCUUCGGGUUGUAAACCUCUUUCAGCACGGAAGAAGCGAAAGUGACGGUACGUGCAGAAGAAGCGCCGGCUAACUACGUG
rnacentral:rRNA from 1 species